GUGGAAACAGGUGCUAAUACCGCAUAACAGUGUUUAACACAUGUGAGAUGCUUGAAAGGUGCAAUUGCAUCACUAGUAGAUGGACCUGCGUUGUAUUAGCUAGUUGGUGGGGUAACGGCCCACCAAGGCGACGAUACAUAGCCGACCUGAGAGGGUGAUCGGCCACACUGGGANUGAGACACGGCCCAGACUCCUACGGGAGGCAGCAGUAGGGAAUCUUCGGCAAUGGGGGCAACCCUGACCGAGCAACGCCGCGUGAGAGAAGAAGGUUUUCGGAUCGUAAAGCUCUGUUGUAAGAGAAGAACGUGUGUGAGAGUGGAAAGUUCACACAGUGACGGUAACUACCAGAAAGGGACGGCUAACU
rnacentral:rRNA from 1 species